rnacentral:rRNA from 1 species
UACGAAGGGGGCUAGCGUUACUCGGAUUUACUGGGCAUAAAGGGCGCGUAGGCGGCUCGGUUAGUGAGGCGUGAAAUUCCCGGGCUUAACCUGGGGACUGCGCUUCAUACUGCUGGGCUUGAGGAUGGAAGAGGGUCGUGGAAUUCCCAGUGUAGAGGUGAAAUUCGUAGAUAUUGGGAAGAACACCGGUGGCGAAGGCGGCGACCUGGUCCAUUACUGACGCUGAGGCGCGACAGCGUGGGGAGCAAACAGG